GAAGAAAAUUCCGAAGGUAAAGAAAAAUCACAAAGCAACAAUCAGAUCGAUUUGAUUUAUACCCUCUGAAGAUUAAAAAACUAAUACAGGAGUAGUAUUGGAAAAAGAAAAAGAACUAUUACAGCUUAUUAUUGCUAUAAAUAUAUAUAAUGGCACGAGAUACGAACUUGCUCAAACUUGAAAUUGUUCAAGCUGGACAUCCUUAGACUUCAGAGGGACAUAUUCUCCCAGAUAAACUUCAAGAUGAUCUGAUAGUGCAGAUUUGUCGAUAUUCUCAUGGUGAUAAGAUUUGCAGACGAAGUAAAUCACUGUUUGGAUAACAAGUCCGAACAGAAACAAUAUAAAAAGCAACAAGAAGCAAAUGAUCCCAUAUGAUACCCUACUAACCAUUCCUAAGGAUCGACCAUGAACCACCAGUAUCUUAAAUGCUACCUGAAUUAAGAAUAGAGACAGAUUGAGCAAGAAAAAUAUAAUUGCUGUCACCAACAACUUCCCUUUGAUUAGAGCUCUGCUCUUCUCCAUGGCCUUAAACCCACAAGCCUCCUCUAGCACAGACACAACACUAGCCAGCUGCCAAAUUAUGGUCAAGUACACGAUACCAACGGCGUACAAAAUCAAGAAAGCAAAGAAAGUCACAGCCCCAAUACUAGUGUCAGAAAUCAAAAUUAUCCAUGCGAUAAAGAUCAGGAAAGCAACUAUGUUGUAGGCAAAAAGAGCAGCAAAAAUACACAAAAAUGUGACCAUAAGCCUCUUCCAAACCUUAGGGACAACGCUCAUAACCUUGGUGAAGGUGAUAUCUCGCCCAGUAUAAAUGCAAGCAAUGGUGUAAACAACUGCUGCGGUUGAUAGAAGGGAGAAAAUAAGAAAGAAAGUGAAGUAUGCAAUCUUGAAGAGCCAGAAAUAUGUCCAUUCGGAGGAGAUUAGAUCGUUUAGUUUCUUGGAUCUUGGAGAGCCAGCUGUUGUAUGAUCUAAUUGUAUUUCAUCAUGUAUAAUAUUGGAGAAGAUGAGAUCGGUUAUCUGGAUGUGAGCUAGGAAGAUGAAAGACAGAGGAAGAAUCAGGGCUAGAGUUAUCUGGGUGAAGAUCUUUCUCCGUGUGAACAUGAUCUUGUAGGAUUCUUUGUAGAUAUCGAAGAAUCCAAGAAAUUGCAUCUCUUCUUGUUCUCUAUCCAUGCCUAGGUGAUCACUGAUUUCUUGAAUGAAUGAGUUUCCUGGGGAAGGAGGAGGAGGACGGUUGGGGGAGAAGAGCAAAUUGAAGGUGAAAGAAAGAAGAUGGUUUUGGCAAAGGAUUAUAGGCAGGAAAACUGGACUUUCUUGCUAUGAAAACUGCCCUUGUUAUUCCAAUCAACUUCCAAAGUCAAAUGACAAAGUCUAUUACAAAAACUUACAGAAAAAAACAAGAGCACAGUCCAGUUUAUUAAUAGAUAAUUAGAGAAAUGGAGGUCUUUUGCUCGUAAAGGACGGCAGAUGAAUAUGU
rnacentral:misc_RNA from 1 species